AAAUUCAAGAGUUAAGUACAAAGAUGGUAUCACCAUGCAAUUUGAGAGGCUACUAGUUUCUUGUGGCCGUGUUAUUAUAAGUUUUCUUUUUUGAGAUUACACGAUACAAUGUAAACACUCAACACGCACGCACACUCACCCCUAUGAACACACGUACGCAAACUCUACCCCUAUGAGCACCUUCGAAGGACUGAGCCAGCAAAUCUUGAAGUUCACAAAGUCACCACAGGCGCCUCGCUGUCGACGGGCACGUCGCCUACCACUUAAAGCAUAGCGCCGGAAAAUCCUAGAAUAAAUCCAGAAUAAAGUGCCGCACCCAGGAUUUGAACCCUGGGUAGGAGCCCCCCAACCAAUGGCCUUUGCCAUUGCGCCGUGAAC
rnacentral:lncRNA from 1 species